UAAAGCAAGUUCAAGAGUCCCAAUUCAACGGUUGAAAUACCAAAAGCUAUCCCUGGACAUAUCCUCCGACCAGAACCAAAUGGGUUUUCCCAGAGUUUUGGAUCUCGUCCUAUCGACCAUGCGUUAACCAAAAGAAUGGUUUUCCGAGGAAUGUCGUAGCCUUGAAUCUUGAUAUCAACCAUUGUUUCUCUUGGAAGUAAAAGAGGAGCUGCUAGGUGUAGUCUUAAGGUUUCUUUGAUCACAAGCUUCAAGUAUUGAAGCUUAUCAACAUCUUCUUCAUCGAUUCUUCCAAUUUUUUUGAUUCCAAUGCAACUUCGGAUGUCAUCUUGAGCUUUCUUCAUCACACGUGGGUUUCUAACAAGCUCUGUCAUUGCCCAAAUCAUGGUGAUGGCGCUUGUGUCUACUCCAGCAAGAUAUAUAUCCUAGGUCAACAAUGACACAAAACGUUAUUGACAUACUUAAGACUCAUGAUAUGUUAAAGAGUUCCAUCUGAAAAGGUAUCGAAGUGUUUUGACAUACUAUCAGUGUUUGCCUUGACGAAAGUUAUAUAGGUAUCUUAUUUCGAUAACAUAAAAAAAAACGUUAGUGUAACUUAACUCUCAAAUUUUUU